GCGGCGCCGGCGAGCGCGGCGCCGCGCGCCCAGGGCGCGCCGAGCGCGGCCGGCGCGGCGAGCGCCGCGGCGCGGCCCCGGGGCGCCGCGC
rnacentral:tRNA from 1 species